UAGCAAUACCGCUGACGACCGGCGCACGGGUGAGUAACACGUAUCCAACCUUCCCAUAACUCGGGGAUAGCCUUUCGAAAGAAAGAUUAAUACCCGAUAGUACUUUAUUAAGGCAUCUUAAGAAAGUUAAAGAUUUAUUGGUUAUGGAUGGGGAUGCGUUCCAUUAGAUAGUUGGUGAGGUAACGGCUCACCAAGUCUUCGAUGGAUAGGGGUUCUGAGAGGAAGGUCCCCCACAUUGGUACUGAGACACGGACCAAACUCCUACGGGAGGCAGCAGUGAGGAAUAUUGGUCAAUGGGCGAGAGCCUGAACCAGCCAAGUAGCGUGAAGGAUGACGG
rnacentral:rRNA from 1 species